rnacentral:tRNA from 3 species
GCGUGGUUGGUGGAAUUGGUAUACACAUCGCACUUAAAAUGCGACGGCGAAAGCUACACGAGUUCAAAUCUCGUACCACGCACCA